UACAGGGGGGGCAAGCGUUGUCCGGAAUUACUGGGCGUACAGCGCGCGCAGGCGGUCCACUACGUGCCGUGUGACAAACGUCGGCUUAACCGACGGAGGCCAGGGUACACGGGUGAACUUGAGGCAGAGAGAGGGAUGUGGAAUACCCGGUGGAGCGGUGAAAUGCGCAGAUAUCAGGAAGAACACCCGUGGCGAAGGCGGCUCUCUGGGACGGUACUGACGCUGAGACGCGAAAGCGUGGGGAGCAAACAGG
rnacentral:rRNA from 1 species